rnacentral:rRNA from 1 species
UACGUAGGGUGCAAGCGUUAAUCGGAAUUACUGGGCGUAAAGCGUGCGCAGGCGGUUUCGUAAGACAGAUGUGAAAUCCCCGGGCUUAACCUGGGAACUGCAUUUGUGACUGCGAGGCUAGAGUGUGUCAGAGGGGGGUGGAAUUCCACGUGUAGCAGUGAAAUGCGUAGAUAUGUGGAGGAACACCGAUGGCGAAGGCAGCCCCCUGGGAUAACACUGACGCUCAUGCACGAAAGCGUGGGGAGCAAACAGG